AUAAAUAAAUAAAUAAAACUGACCUCUCUGUAUUUUAUGUAAUAUAAAUUAUGUGUUCUAUAAAUUCUGUAAAUUAUGUGUUCUAUCCAUGUACAGGCACAUGUGUAGAGUAUGCCGAGUGCUGCAGGCUGCUGUAAUACAAUGGUAGGGAUUUGUGUGUCUACAAAUAAAAGCACAGGAAAACUACGGUA